CAAGAUUGACUGGAAUUGGACCAAUCUCCCUGCUCUGACACGUUUAGUUUGGAUUGGAACUCACUUUACAGGUUGAUCCUUAGAGCAACUUGACAAGGAGGAGGUGAAACCCCAUUGUCUUAUUCUGCUAUAACAAAACUGCCCAGACCUGGUGGCUUACAAACAGUGGAAACUUAUUUUGCUCAAGAUUCUGGAAGCUGGAAGUCCAAGGUCACUGGAAGGCGUUUUCAAGAGUAAGUAACGACCCGUGAAGUGUCACUGUCAGCGGCCACAACAACAACUGCCUGAGGGCAGCGGGAAGAGAAGACGAAGCCAGUGGCUGCAGAUCUCCACCCCCGCCCCCGUGGCCUCGGUGUGGCUGAGGAGCGCGGAUCCUGCGGUUCUCAGAACGCCGCCUUAACUUCGUUCUCUUCUGACACAUAGUUAAGGUGCAGUGUACUUCAGGAGUUCGGGUUCUCCUUACAUCUUCUUUUCAUGACCAAAAAAAAAAAAAAGUAAGUCCCCUGCCUGUGAAUCUUCAAGUUGUGAACUUUCCAGGAUGAGAACCUGUCCUCAUCAACGUCAGGCGUGAGUGAAACUGCAGCUUGCCCUCCAUCUCCUAUUGCUGAUUCUCCUUCAGCUCUACUGUCUCCCACCUCCUCUCUCUUCUCCGGUCAGUAACUCUUCUU